rnacentral:rRNA from 1 species
UUGAAUUCGUAGUCAUAUGCUUGUCUCAAAGAUUAAGCCAUGCAUGUCUAAGUAUAAGCAAUUAUACUGCGAAACUGCGAAUGGCUCAUUAAAUCAGUUAUUGUUCCUUUGGCAGUCCCUUUUUACUUGGGUAACUGUGGCAAUUCUAGAGCUAAUACAUGCCAAAAGCCCCGACUUCGGUUGUGGGUGGACUUGUUAGAUAAAGAAUCAAUGCCCUUCGGGGCUAGUGGGUGAAUCAUGACAAUUACGCGGAUCGCAUGGCCUUGUGCCGGCGAUACCCCAUUCAAAUUUCUGCCCUAUCAACUUUAGAUGGUAGCGUCUUGGGCUACUAUGGUUUCGACGGGUAACGGGGAAUUAGGGUUCUAUUCCGGAGAGGGAGCCUGAGAAACGGCUACCACAUCCAAGGAGGGCAGCAGGCGCGCAAAUUACCCAAUCCCGACUCGGGGAGGUAGUGACAAUAAAUACUGAUACAGGGCUCUUUUGGGUCUUGUAAUUGGAAUGAGUACAAUUUAAAUCUCUUAACGAGGAACAAUUGGAGGGCAAGUCUGGUGCCAGCAGCCGCGGUAAUUCCAGCUCCAAUAGCGUAUAUUAAAGUUGUUGCAGUUAAAAAGCUCGUAGUUGAACCUUGGGCCUGGCUGGUCGGUCCGCCUCACCGCGAGUAUUGAUCCGGCCGGGUCCUUCCUUCUGGGGAACCGCAUGCCCUUCACUGGGUGUGUCGGGGAACUAGGACGUUUACUUUGAAAAAAUUAGAGUGUUCAAAGCAGGCCUAUGCUCGAAUACAUUAGCAUGGAAUAAUGAAAUAGGACGUGUGGUUCUAUUUUGUUGGUUUCUAGGACCGCCGUAAUGAUUAAUAGGGACAGUCGGGGGCAUCAGUAUUCAAUCGUUAGAGGUGAAAUUCUUGGAUCGAUUGAAGACUAACUACUGCGAAAGCAUUUGCCAAGGAUGUUUUCAUUAAUCAGUGAACGAAAGUUAGGGGAUCGAAGACGAUCAGAUACCGUCGUAGUCUUAACCAUAAACUAUGCCGACUAGGGAUCGGGCGAUGUUAUUUUUUUGACUCGCUCGGCACCUUACGAGAAAUCAAAGUCUUUGGGUUCUGGGGGGAGUAUGGU